rnacentral:rRNA from 1 species
UACGUAGGGUGCAAGCGUUGUCCGGAAUUAUUGGGCGUAAAGAGCUCGUAGGCGGUUUGUCGCGUCUGCUGUGAAAACUCAGGGCUUAACCCUGAGCCUGCAGUGGGUACGGGCAGACUAGAGUGUGGUAGGGGAGAUCGGAAUUCCUGGUGUAGCGGUGGAAUGCGCAGAUAUCAGGAGGAACACCGGUGGCGAAGGCGGAUCUCUGGGCCAUAACUGACGCUGAGGAGCGAAAGCAUGAGGAGCGAACAGG